UACAGAGGGUGCAAGCGUUGUUCGGAAUUAUUGGGCGUAAAGCGCGUGUAGGCGGCUUUGCAAGUCGGGUGUGAAAGCCCUCAGCUCAACUGAGGAAGUGCGCCCCGAAAACUGCAGAGCUUGAGUGCCGGAGAGGGUGGCGGAAUUCCCCCAAGUAGAGGUGAAAUUCGUAGAUAUGGGGAGGAACACCGGUGGCGAAGGCGGCCACCUGGACGGUAACUGACGCUGAGACGCGAAAGCGUGGGGAGCGAACAGG
rnacentral:rRNA from 1 species